rnacentral:rRNA from 1 species
ACGCUCGACACCUACGGAAGGCAGCAGUGGGGAAUAUUGCACAAUGGGGGAAACCCUGAUGCAGCGACGCCGCGUGGAGGAAGAAGGUCUUCGGAUUGUAAACUCCUGUUGUUGGGGAAAAAGAGGAUGGUACCCAACAAGGAAGUGACGGCUAACUACGUGCCANNCGCGAGUAUGNGNGGCGNGNAG